CGGGAGUGUUCUGCUGGGCACAGGGCACUGUUUCCCUUUCUAUUUUUCUUUUUCUUUUUCCUUCACACCUCGAUACUUGUUGGAUGGGGUCACAGGGGUACUACCUGCUACUGCACACACACGCUAACACACACCAGCACAUACACAUGCUUAUUUUUUUUCUUUCAUCUGUACGCUAAGUGCUAUUAGCUUAGGAAAAACUAGUGCAGGGUGUUGCAUGUAUGUCUUGUUUUUUAUUUUUUUCACUUAUUAGAAUUUCGAGUAGUAAAGUUUCAAAUAUGUUUAUGGAUUAAAUAUUAGGAGUUGACUCCGGACAAGUAGGACACCCUGACGGUGUUUCCGAGUUGAUCGGAGCGCUACCAGGCAAGUCGCAUCCCUUGAACAUGUCUUCGAAAAUGAUUUUAUGAAACUUGGCUUAUUUCGAAAUUCUUGCAUGCCACCCAAAAAUAAGAUUUAUAAUAAAUUUGUAAGUGGAUCCGGUGGAUCCACUAGUAUGGUCAGUACUAGGUAGGCCGACCCGGACAGGGUUACGGCUUAAGUGUAAUUCGGUGGGU
rnacentral:lncRNA from 1 species